GUGCGGAACACGUACAGAACCUUCCUUUAAGCGGGGGAUAGCCCAUAGAAAUGUGGAUUAAUACCCCAUAGCAAUAUUUAAUGGCAUCAUUAGAUAUUUAAAGAUUUAUCACUUAAAGAUGGCUGUGCGGCUGAUUAGGUAGUUGGUGCGGGUAACGGCCCACCAAGCCAGCGAUCAGUAACUGGUGUGAGAGCACGACCAGUCACACGGGCACUGAGACACGGGCCCGACUCCUACGGGAGGCAGCAGUAAGGAAUAUUGGUCAAUGGACGCAAGUCUGAACCAGCCAUGCCGCGUGAAGGAUGAAGGCCCUCUGGGUUGUAAACUUCUUUUAUCUGGGAAGAAAUGCCUGUUUUCUAACGGGUUUGACGGUACCAGAGGAAUAAGCACCGGCUAACUCCGUGCCAGCAGCCGCGGUAAUACGGAGGGUGCAAGCGUUAUCCGGAUUCACUGGGUUUAAAGGGUGCGUAGGUGGGUUGAUAAGUCAGUGGUGAAAUCUCCGUGCUUAACAUGGAAACUGCCAUUGAUACUACUGACCUUGAAUUUUCGGGAGGUAAGCGGAAUAUGUCAUGUAGCGGUGAAAUGCCUAGAUAUGACAUAGAACACCAAUUGCGAAGGCAGCUUACUACAGGAAUAUUGACACUGAUGCACGAAAGCGUGGGGAUCAAACAGGAUUAGAUACCCUGGUAGUCCACGCCC
rnacentral:rRNA from 1 species